AUUUUGCGUUAGCGAUUGAAGUGGCAUCCUUUUUUAGAGUGCAACGAAGAAAAAGAUAGAACAAAAAGCGCGACCUGAA
rnacentral:sRNA from 1 species